GAUGAACGCUGGCGGCGUGCUUAACACAUGCAAGUCGAACGGAAAGGCUCCUGCUUGCAGGGGUACUCGAGUGGCGAACGGGUGAGUAACACGUGGGUGAUCUGCCCUGCACUUCGGGAUAAGCCUGGGAAACUGGGUCUAAUACCGGAUAGGACGAUGGUUUGGAUGCCAUUGUGGAAAGUUUUUCGGUGUGGGAUGAGCUCGCGGCCUAUCAGCUUGUUGGUGGGGUAAUGGCCUACCAAGGCGUCGACGGGUAGCCGGCCUGAGAGGGUGUACGGCCACAUUGGGACUGAGAUACGGCCCAGACUCCUACGGGAGGCAGCAGUGGGGAAUAUUGCACAAUGGGCGCAAGCCUGAUGCAGCGACGCCGCGUGGGGGAUGACGGCCUUCGGGUUGUAAACUCCUUUCGCUAGGGACGAAGCGCAAGUGACGGUACCUGGAGAAGAAGCACCGACUAACUACGUG
rnacentral:rRNA from 1 species